UCUAAAAUCAUUAACAACUCCACACAUACAAAAUGAAGUAGCAAGCUUUUCAGUUGCUGAAAACAACAUUGACUUUGCAAAAGAAACCAAUGUUUUCCAAGAAAAAUCAAAGUUGUUUUCAAAUAUAUCGAUGAAUAUGGCUCUAAAACUUGUGUUUCAGAUAAGGAGGAUUGCAGAGAGACACACUUGUCUUCUCAGGAUUUUCAAAAAGUUGUGUUGUCCUGGAUGGCAAAGAUAGAUAAGAAGGUGGAUAAGUUAUUGCUACAGCAAUCUACAUCAACAGCAAGCGCUAGUAUAUCAUCUACAGAGUCCAUUUUUGAAAGAUGCUUAACAAAAUCUGAUGUGGAUUUACUUGAAGAAAAAGUCAAGGCUAGCAAUGUUUUCAAGGGUAGAGUGGUGAGUUGCUAUAUAUUACAACACAAUUGUUAUGAAAU